UCCGGCUAACUUCGUGCCAGCAGCCGCGGUAAUACGAAGGGACCUAGCGUAGUUCGGAAUUACUGGGCUUAAAGAGUUCGUAGGUGGUUAAAAAAGUUGAUGGUGAAAUCCCAGAGCUUAACUCUGGAACUGCCAUCAAAACUUUUUAGCUAGAGUAUGAUAGAGGAAAGCAGAAUUUCUAGUGUAGAGGUGAAAUUCGUAGAUAUUAGAAAGAAUACCAAUUGCGAAGGCAGCUUUCUGGAUCAUUACUGACGCUGAGGAACGAAAGCAUGGGUAGCGAAGAGGAUUAGAUACUCUCGUAGUCCAUGCCGUAAACGAUGUGUGUUAGACGUUGGAAAUUUAUUUUCAGUGUCGCAGUGAAAACAAUAAACACACCGCCUGGGGAGUACGACCGCAAGGUUAAAACUCAAAUGAAUUGACGGGGACCCGCACAAGUAGUGGAGCAUGUGGUUUAAUUCGAAGAUACGCGCAGAACCUUACCAACACUUGACAUGUUCGUCGCGACUCUAAGAGAUUAGAGUUUUCGGUUCGGCCGGACGAAACACAGGUGCUGCAUGGCUGUCGUCAGCUCGUGUCGUGAGAUGUUGGGUUAAGUCCCGCAACGAGCGCAACCCUUACUUUUAGUUGCCAUCAUUUAGUUGGGCACUCUGAAAGAACUGCCAGUGAUAAGCUGGAGGAAGGUGGGGAUGACGUCAAGUCCUCAUGGCCCUUACGUGUUGGGCUACACACGUGCUACAAUGGUAUCUACAACAGGAAGCAAAACAGCGAUGUUAAGCAAAUCCCGAAAAGAUACCUCAGUUCGGAUUGCACUCUGCAACUCGAGUGCAUGAAGCUGGAAUUACUAGUAAUCGUGGAUCAGCGUGCCACGGUGAAUACGUUCCCGGGUCUUGUACACACCGCCCGUCACACCAUGGGAGUUGGUUCUACCUUAAGGCAAAGCUUAAA
rnacentral:rRNA from 1 species